GACUUCAUCAGAUCACCAACAACAAUGAAAUCUCCACGAGUUUGCACAUAGAGUGCAAGUAUAUGCCCAUGAUGCCCACACUCAGACUGUAGCUCACGAGAACCAUCAUCUCGAAGCAUCCACUUGUAUAACUGGAUUUUCUGAUUAAUAGCAGCUAGCAGUUUGCCAUUGAAAGCAUUCAAUGAGUAAACAGCACCCUUAGUUUCCUUCUCGGUGAUAAGCUGCAACUUCCCUUCCUCAACCAUGAAAACCAAUAUUCGGCCCUUAGUUGGCUCAUUUUCCUCUGGCAAAACAUAAGCAGUUCCAACACAGUAGUACACAUUAAUAUCAUCAGAAAAGGAACAGCUGAGUAUGGACCAGCCAUACUCAAAUGGGUCAAGUUGGUA
rnacentral:misc_RNA from 1 species